rnacentral:rRNA from 1 species
AGAGUUUGAUCAUGGCUCAGGAUGAACGCUGGCGGCGUGCCUAAUACAUGCAAGUCGAGCGAGAAUUUUUCAAAUGACACCUCGGUUGAUUUUGGAAAAGGACAGCGGCGGACGGGUGAGUAACGCGUAGGCAACCUGCCCCUGACAGAGGGAUAGCCAUUGGAAACGAUGAUUAAAACCUCAUAACGCCGAAGGAACACAUGUUUCAUCGGCCAAAGAUUUAUCGGUCAGGGAUGGGCCUGCGUCUGAUUAACUAGUUGGUGAGGUAACGGCCCACCAAGGUGACGAUCAGUAGCCGACCUGAGAGGGUGAUCGGCCACAUUGGAACUGAGACACGGUCCAAACUUCUACGGAAGGCAGCAGUAGGGAAUCUUGCACAAUGGGCGAAAGCCUGAUGCAGCAACGCCGCGUGAAGGAUGAAGGCCUUCGGGUUGUAAACUUCUGUUCUUAGGGAAGAAGAAAGUGACGGUACCUAAGGAGAAAGCCCCGGCUAACUACGUGCCAGCAGCCGCGGUAAUACGUAGGGGGCAAGCGUUAUCCGGAAUUAUUGGGCGUAAAGAGUGCGUAGGUGGUUAUCUAAGCGUAAGGUUUAAGCGUGCAGCUCAACUGCAUCUCGCCUUGCGAACUGGACUACUUGAGUGCAGGAGGGGAAAGCGGAAUUCCUAGUGUAGCGGUGAAAUGCGUAGAUAUUAGGAGGAACACCAGCGGCGAAGGCGGCUCUCUGGACUGUAACUGACACUGAGGCACGAAAGCGUGGGGAGCAAACAGGAUUAGAUACCCUGGUAGUCC